rnacentral:rRNA from 1 species
GAUGAACGCUGGCGGCGUGCCUAAUACAUGCAAGUCGAGCGAACAGACGAGGAGCUUGCUCCUCUGACGUUAGCGGCGGACGGGUGAGUAACACGUGGAUAACCUACCUAUAAGACUGGGAUAACUUCGGGAAACCGGAGCUAAUACCGGAUAAUAUAUUGAACCGCAUGGUUCAACAGUGAAAGACGGUUUUGCUGUCACUUAUAGAUGGAUCCGCGCCGCAUUAGCUAGUUGGUAAGGUAACGGCUUACCAAGGCAACGAUGCGUAGCCGACCUGAGAGGGUGAUCGGCCACACUGGAACUGAGACACGGUCCAGACUCCUACGGGAGGCAGCAGUAGGGAAUCUUCCGCAAUGGGCGAAAGCCUGACGGAGCAACGCCGCGUGAGUGAUGAAGGUCCUCGGAUCGUAAAACUCUGUUAUUAGGGAAGAACAAAUGUGUAAGUAACUAUGCACGUCUUGACGGUACCUAAUCAGAAAGCCACGGCUAACUACGUG